rnacentral:rRNA from 1 species
UUUUAAAAUAAAGUAAAAAAUGCUGAGGAUUAAAUGUAAACAUUAAAUUUAAAUAAUUUGGCGGUAUUAUAAAUAGUUAGAGGAAUUUGCUAAGUAAAUGAUAAUCCACGAGUGGAGGAACCUAAUGAAGUUUUUAUGUAUUGUUGUUUUAAAAUUGUUUUAAGAGGGAUAUAAUUGAUUUUCUGGAUUAAGAAUUAAUUCAAAUCAAAAUGUAGAAUUAUUAGGGUUGGGUGAAUUACAAUUUAUUAAAAUGAGUUUAUAGAUUUAAUUUUAUAAAUAAAGUGGAUUUAAUAGUAAAUUUAUAGAAUUAUAUAAAUUGAAAUAAAACUUAUGGUAUG